rnacentral:rRNA from 1 species
UGGGGAAUUUUGCACAAUGGAGGAAACUCUGAUGCAGCGACGCCGCGUGAGUGAUGAAGAUCUUCGGAUUGUAAAACUCUGUCCUUAGUGAAGAUAAUGACAGUAACUAAGAAGCAAGCCCUGGCUAAAUACGUGCCAGCAGCCGCGGUAAUACGUAUGGGGCAAGCGUCGUCCGGAAUUAUUGGGCGUAAAGGGUACGUAGGCGGUUUAAUAAGUCCUAAUUAAAAGGCUAUGGCUCAACCAUAGUAUGGUUAGGAAACUGUUGAACUUGAGUAGAUGAGGGGAAAGUGGAAUUCCAUGUGUAGCGGUGAAAUGCGUAGAUAUAUGGAGGAACACCAAUGGCGAAGGCAACUUUCUGGAAUCAAACUGACGCUGAGGUACGAAGGCGUGGGGAGCAAACAGG